ensembl:lncRNA
AUAUAAUAACUAGAUUGUUUUCACAUGAACUGAACAAUCUUUUAAUACCUGAAUUAAUUUACAUUAAAAAGGAUUCAGUGUUUCAUUGGCAUUUGUGUUUCAUUGUGUCAGUGUUGUAAAUGAUAUUGUGAUGUUAUUACUUCAUCUUUUCUGUUUUACAGACAAGAUUAAAACAUGGGUUCGAAUUUACAGUUCUACAGCAGAAUAUAUUGUUUUCUCAGCUGUUUUUUAUUCAGUUCUGUUUAAAUCUGCCGUGGACAAGAGUCUGAAUUACGCUGGAUUUGAAGGAGUCAUGAUUAUAAUUCUCUCUGUGAUGGUGAUUCUGUUCACCCUCUUCUAUAUUAUUUCCUUGUUGCUGAGAUUGAUUGGUAAAUCAAGUCAGCGGGUGAUUACUAUAUUCGGUGUUCUGGCUGGAAUAAGUUUUAAUAUUCUGCCUUCACUUCAGUUCAUCCUCAUCUUCUACUCCUUUGGAU